rnacentral:rRNA from 1 species
GUGGGGAAUAUUGGGCAAUGGGCGAAAGCCUGACCCAGCAACGCCGCGUGAAGGAAGAAGGUCUUCGGAUCGUAAACUUCUAUCCUUGGUGAAGAUAAUGACGGUAGCCGAGAAGGAAGCCCCGGCUAACUACGUGCCAGCAGCCGCGGUAAUACGUAGGGGGCAAGCGUUGUCCGGAAUGAUUGGGCGUAAAGGGCGCGUAGGCGGCCUGGUAAGUCUGGAGUGAAAGUCCUGCUUUUAAGGUGGGAAUUGCUUUGGAUACUGUCGGGCUUGAGUGCAGGGGAGGUAAGUGGAAUUCCCGGUGUAGCGGUGAAAUGCGUAGAGAUCGGGAGGAACACCAGUGGCGAAGGCGGCUUUCUGGACUGUAACUGACGCUGAGGCACGAAAGCGUGGGGAGCAAACAGGAUUAGAAACCCCAGUAGUCC